CCUUCUAUUACUAAUAGCCAAAUGAUAAAUAAAAUAAAAAAUGUAAUGGAAUUUAUUAUAUAAAAUAAUAAACUUCUACGAUCAUAAAAUACUGAUUAGUGACAUUUAACAUUAAUUCCAAUUUAAUAAACAUCCCCUAGCAACUUGUGCUAAAACUAUUUAUCUGAAGUUAGCACCACAUAUUCCACUUAUAAAGUGGUCAAUAACUAUUAUGUAAAUGAAGAAAAAUAUGGCUCAAAUUCACAUAAUUGUUUAUGUGUUGAUCAUCUUUCUCUCUUUAGUUUUUUCUGUAACCAAUGGUGCUAUCUUUCGUUGCAUGAAGGACAUCGAUUGUCCAGAAAAGUCUGUCGGACAAAUGAAGUGCAUUAGAAAAUUUUGUCACUACACUUGGAAUAACAAAUUAGUUUAAAGGAGAUGGGAUUGAUAAUUUUACAUUAUCAUCUAAUAAAAAAUUAAUAGUUUAUCAUGUCAUUAAAAUAAUUUUAAAAUAAAAAUAUGAUUUUGCGGGAAUACACAUCGAUGAUGAUUAUCAAUAUAAAAUUAUUUUAUAUAAAUGGUUUAUAUUUUCUUUA